rnacentral:rRNA from 1 species
CCUACAUGAAGCUGGAAUUGCUAGUAAUGGCAGGUCAGCAUACUGCCGUGAAUACGUUCCCGGGCCUUGUACACACCGCCCGUCACACCAUGAGAGUUGGGAAUACCCGAAGCCUGUGAGCUAACAGUAAUGAGGCAGCAGUCGAAGGUAGAAUCAAUGAUUGGGUGAAGUCGUAACAAGGUAUC